rnacentral:rRNA from 1 species
CCCUUAGAUGUUCUGGGCUGCACGCGUGUUACAAUCGGGAGUACAACAAGAUUGCAAAUCCUAGUGGAUGAGUGGUUCUUCGAAAUUUUCUGAAGACUGGGAUAGUUGAUUGAAAUUAUUCAACUCAAACGAGGAAUUCCUUGUAAUUGUAAUUCAUUAUAUUGUAAUGAAUACAUCCCUGCCCUUUGUACACACCGCCCGUCGCUCCUACCGAUUGAACGAUCCGGUGAAUUAUUUGGAGUAGCUCUGGAAGUUGCAGAACUUCCUAUGUCACGAAAUUUUGUAAACCUUAUCGUUUAGAGGAAGGAAAAGUCGUAACA